GAAAUGCGAUAAGUAGUGUGAAUUGCAGAAUUCAGUGAAUCAUCGAAUCUUUGAACGCACAUUGCGCCCUUUGGUAUUCCAAAGGGCAUGCCUGUUCGAGCGUCAUUUGUACCCUCAAGCUUUGCUUGGUGUUGGGCGUCUUGUCUCUAGCUUUGCUGGAGACUCGCCUUAAAGUAAUUGGCAGCCGGCCUACUGGUUUCGGAGCGCAGCACAAGUUGCACUCUCUAUCAGCAAAGGUCUAGCAUCCAUUAAGCCUUUUUUUCAACUUUUGACCUCGGAUCAGGUAGGGAUACCCGCUGAACUUAAGC
rnacentral:misc_RNA from 1 species